UUUUUGAUUUUUUUUGGUAUUGGUA
rnacentral:sRNA from 1 species